rnacentral:rRNA from 1 species
UCUUGUUCAGAUAGCCAUGCACGUCUAAGUACAAACUAAAUGAUGGUGAAACUGCAAAUGGCUCAUUACAACGGUUAUGAUGUACCCGGGAGUUCCGAUGGAUAUUUCCAGUAACACUAGAACUAAUACAUGUCCCUGCGUUUAUUAGUUUCGCACAGUCCGUCGCUGAGUCAUGGUAAACAGUUGAUCGACUCGACGUCCCGGAACAGUUUCCGCCCCAUCAGCUUCGAUGGUUGGGUAUUGGCCUACCAUUGCAACAACGGGUAACGAGGAAUUAGGGUUUGAUUUCGGAGAGGGAGCCUGAGAAACGGCUACCACAUCUACGGAUGGCAGCAGGCGCGCAAAUUACCCAAUGCAGACACUGUGAGGUAGUGACGAGAAAUAAUAAAGCGGGACUUCUGUUUCGCUAUUAUGAUGAGGAAUAACCAAAGGUCAUUCCGAUUAGCAACUGAUGGGAAAGUCUGGUGCCAGCAGCCGCGGUAAUACCAGCGUCAGUAGCA